rnacentral:rRNA from 2 species
UACGAGAGGCCCAAACGUUAUUCGGAUUUACUGGGCUUAAAGAGUUCGUAGGCGGUCCAUCAAGUGGGGUGUGAAAUCCCUCGGCUCAACCGAGGAAUUGCGCUCCAAACUGUUGGGCUCGAGGGAGAUAGAGGUGAGCGGAACUGAUGGUGGAGCGGUGAAAUGCGUUGAUAUCAUCAGGAACACCAGAGGCGAAGGCGGCUCACUGGGUCUCUUCUGACGCUGAGGAACGAAAGCUAGGGGAGCAAACGGG